GAUGAAGAACGUAGCGAAAUGCGAUAAGUAGUGUGAAUUGCAGAAUUCAGUGAAUCAUCGAAUCUUUGAACGCACAUUGCGCCCUUUGGUAUUCCAAAGGGCAUGCCUGUUCGAGCGUCAUUUGUACCCUCAAGCUUUGCUUGGUGUUGGGCGUCUUGUCUCUAGCUUUGCUGGAGACUCGCCUUAAAGUAAUUGGCAGCCGGCCUACUGGUUUCGGAGCGCAGCACAAGUCGCACUCUCUAUCAGCAAAGGUCUAGCAUCCAUUAGGCCUUUUUUUCAACUUUUGACCUCGGAUCAGGUAGGGAUACCCGCUGAACUUAAGCAUAUCAAUAAGCGGAGGA
rnacentral:misc_RNA from 1 species